AGAGCGAACGCUGGCGGCGUGCUUAACACAUGCAAGUCGAACGCGCAGCAUUCUGUAGCAAUACAGGAUGUGGGCGCGUGGCGAACGGGUGCGUAACACGUGGAUAACCUUCCUUCAGGUGGGGAAUAACCCAGCGAAAGUUGGGCUAAUACCGCAUAAAAUUACGAGGGUACAUGCUCUUGUAUUCAAAGGCGCAAGUCGCCAGAAGAGGGAUCCGCGGCCGAUUAGCUUGUGGCGAGGUAAUGGCUCACCAAGGCAAUGAUCGGUA
rnacentral:rRNA from 1 species